CGGUGGAGCGAUUUGUCUGGUUAAUUCCGAUAACGAACGAGACUCUAGCCUAUUAAAUAGUUCGCCGAUUUUUCGAGUCGGCGUCAACUUCUUAGAGGGACAAGUGUCGUACAGGCACGCGAGAUUGAGCAAUAACA
rnacentral:rRNA from 1 species